UGGGGAAUAUUGGACAAUGGGCGCAAGCCUGAUCCAGCAAUGCCGCGUGAGUGAUGAAGGCCUUCGGGUUGUAAAGCUCUUUCGCCUGCGAGGAUGAUGACGGUAGCAGGAGAAGAAGCCCCGGCUAACUUCGUGCCAGCAGCCGCGGUAAUACGAAGGGGGCGAGCGUUGUUCGGAUUUACUGGGCGUAAAGGGCACGUAGGCGGCGAUGUAAGUCAGGCGUGAAAGCCCCGGGCUCAACCUGGGAAUUGCGCUUGGGACUACAUUGCUGGAGUUCGGGAGAGGAGCGUGGAAUUCCCAGUGUAGAGGUGAAAUUCGUAGAUAUUGGGAAGAACACCGGCGGCGAAGGCGGCGCUCUGGACCGAUACUGACGCUGAGGCGCGAAAGCGUGGGGAGCAAACAGGAUUAGAUACCCUGGUAGUCCACGCUGUAAACGAUGUGUGCUAGACGUUGGGGAGCCUAGCUCUUCGGUGUCGCCGCUAACGCUGUAAGCACACCGCCUGGGGAGUACGGCCGCAAGGUUA
rnacentral:rRNA from 1 species